UACGUAGGUGGCGAGCGUUGUCCGGAUUUACUGGGCGUAAAGGAUGCGUAGGCGGAUAUUUAAGUGAGAUGUGAAAUACCCGAGCUUAACUUGGGUGCUGCAUUUCAAACUGGAUAUCUAGAGUGCGGGAGAGGAGAAUGGAAUUCCUAGUGUAGCGGUGAAAUGCGUAGAGAUUAGGAAGAACACCAGUGGCGAAGGCGAUUCUCUGGACCGUAACUGACGCUGAGGCAUGAAAGCGUGGGGAGCGAACAGG
rnacentral:rRNA from 1 species